GAAUAGCCCGGCGAAAGUCGAAUUAAUGCUCUAUGUUGUGUUUUGAGGACAUCUGACGAACACCAAAGGUUCACCGCUAUAGGAUGGGGAUGCGUCUGAUUAGCUUGUUGGCGGGGUAACGGCCCACCAAGGCGACGAUCAGUAGGGGUUCUGAGAGGAAGGUCCCCCACAUUGGUACUGAGACACGGACCAAACUCCUACGGGAGGCAGCAGUGAGGAAUAUUGGUCAAUGGGCGAGAGCCUGAACCAGCCAAGUAGCGUGCAGGAAGACUGCCCUAUGGGUUGUAAACUGCUUUUAUCAGGGAAUAAAGUGCGGCACGUGUGCCGUUUUGUAUGUACCUGAUGAAUAAGGACCGGCUAAUUCCGUGCCAGCAGCCGCGGUAAUACGGAAGGUCCGGGCGUUAUCCGGAUUUAUUGGGUUUAAAGGGAGCGCAGGCUGGAUUUUAAGCGUGUUGUGAAAUGUACCGGCUCAACCGGUGAUGUGCAGCGCGAACUGGAGUCCUUGAGUGAGUACGACGUCAGCGGAAUUCGUGGUGUAGCGGUGAAAUGCUUAGAUAUCACGAAGAACCCCGAUUGCGAAGGCAGCUGACGAGUCCUUAACUGACGCUAAAGCUCGAAAGUGCGGGUAUCGAACAGGAUUAGAUACCCUGGUAGUCCGCACGGUAAACGAUGGAUGCCCGCUGUU
rnacentral:rRNA from 1 species